rnacentral:lncRNA from 1 species
GAAAAAUCCAAAUUGCUUUCAUUUCAACAAUAAACCGUUACACAGUCUUGUUCUACCUGUCCACAAAAUCACAAUAUACAAGUGUUUCAUAAUGCAUUGCCAAUUGACCAUCCCAUACAUAAACCACAACACUUGGGCUCCAACGGUACAUUAAUUAUUAAACAUUUAAUUUACAAUUUCAAGCAAAUUUACAGUUACAACAAAUUCAUAUACUCAAUUACAAUCCACACUCCACAAAUCAGUCCAAUGCACUUUCCAAAUACUCCUUUAGCUCAUAACCUAGAAACUCAAUCGUAACAUGUCCAGGAAAUUCACACAAUACAUAGUAGAACGCGAUAGAUCCAUCUGCAGAAGUUUCGAAACAUAGUC